rnacentral:rRNA from 1 species
UUACGAGGCCUCGUAAUCGGAAUGAGUACACUUUAAAUAUUUUAACGAGGAACAAUUGGAGGGCAAGUCUGGUGCCAGCAGCCGCGGUAAUUCCAGCUCCAAUAGCGUAUACUAAAAUUGUUGCGGUUAAAAAGCUCGUAGUUGCAUUUGUGCGCCGCGCUGUCGGUGCAUCGCCUCUGGCGGUGAUACUGACACGUCCGCGGAGCAUAUCGUCGGUGAGCGCGACGGUAAAACGGCGCGCUCAAUAUCAAAAAUCCUAUCGCGGUGCUCUUCACCGAGUGUCGAGGUGGGCCGACAAUUUUACUUUGAACAAAUUAGAGUGCUCAAAGCGGGCAGAACAUUUCCGCUCGUAUAUUUAGUGCAUGGAAUAAUAGAAUAUGAUCUCGGUUCUAUUUUGUUGGUUUUCAGAACUCCGAGGUAAUGAUUAAUAGGGAUAACUGGGGGCAUUCGUAUUGCGACGUUAGAGGUGAAAUUCUUGGAUCGUCGCAAGACGAACAUCAGCGAAAGCAUUUGCCAAAGGUGUUUUCAUCAAUCAAGAACGAAAGUUAGAGGUUCGAAGGCGAUUAGAUACCGCCCUAGUUCUAACCGUAAAUAUGUCGUCUAGCGAUCCGCCGACGUUACUACAACGGCUCGGCGGGCAGCUUCCGGGAAACCAAAGAUUUUGGACUCCGGGGGGAGUAUGGUUGCAAAGCUGAAACUUAAAGGAA